UGUUUCAGCACCACAUAUACACACACAAAAAAGGAACGAUACAGAGAAAAGUAGCAUGGCCCCCAUGCAAGAAAGACAUGCAAAUUGGUGAAGCAUCCCAUUAAAAA